CGCACAGGUGGUUUCUUAAGUCUGAUGUGAAAGCCCACGGCUCAACCGUGGAGGGUCAUUGGAAACUGGGAGACUUGAGUGCAGAAGAGGAUAGUGGAAUUCCAAGUGUAGCGGUGAAAUGCGUAGAGAUUUGGAGGAACACCAGUGGCGAAGGCGACUGUCUGGUCUGUAACUGACACUGAGGCGCGAAAGCGUGGGAGCAAACA
rnacentral:rRNA from 1 species